rnacentral:rRNA from 1 species
AGUGAUCUGUCUGCCUAAUUGCGUUUCACUAAGGUCCCAUUCUUCAUACGUAUGAAUAGCGUCUUAACUCACUUUUACCGCUACCUAUUUGUAGUAAGCGCUCAUACUAUUGGGACCGGAAUGCAACGAGCGCGACUGCACCACCUAAUUGCCCCUUAUCUACCAUUAAUUACUUUAUUAACCGCCCUGUACGGGCACCGGGGCCUUACCUUUACUGAAACUAGCUGGACCGCUGCUUUCCUUUAAGCCAGAGGAAGGUUGCGGCAAUAACAGGUCUGUGAUGCCCUCAGAUGUUCCGGGCCGCACACGUGCUACAAUGAUCAGCACAAAGAGUAUUACCUAUCUUCUUAUACCUAACCCAAUAUGUUAAACUUAUUGCGUAAGGGUAUUGUCUUAACGACUUAUCCGCUUUAGCGCUUUAAGAUUAUUGGACGGUUGUGCCUGCCUCGAAAGAGUGUACAGGGCAGCAAGAGUAAUGAUUCCCUCGUUUUUACUACUAAUACCGCGCUUGGUAACAUAUUACACUCGAUUAAGUAGGGUCUUUGCUUUUAAUAGCAAUUGCUAUCCUCACCCUUAGGCUCUAAGGAUAUUACUAUCUCUAAGGUCUACAGGGAGGUGUAUAUGGCGCACUUACUUAUUCACGGUGGGGACAGACCAUUGUUAACUGUUGGUCUCGGUCUCAACUAGGAAUGCCUCGUACGGGUUGGUUCACCAAACCACCCGGAAUAUGUCCCUGCCCUUUGUACACACCGCCCGUCGCUCUUAUCGAUGAACUCACUUGUGAGGCUGAGGGACUGCGUCUAUUUAUACCCGUAUAAUCCUAAUAUCUUACAUACAUUUCGCUAAAGGCGAUUUUUCUUUAAGGAUUUACACGACCUUACGCACAAACUUAUUCGACCAA